AUUGAACGCUGGCGGCAGGCCUAACACAUGCAAGUCGAGCGAGCGGCGGAAGGGUGAGUAAUGUAUGGGGACUGCCCGAUAGAGGGGGAUAACUACUGGAAAAGGUAGCUAAUACCGCAUACAAUAUGAUAGACCAUGUGGGAUAAGCUAGUAGGUGGGGUAAUGGCUCACCUAGGCGACGAUCCCUAGCUGGUCUGAGAGGAUGAUCAGCCCAACUGGGACUGAGACACGGCCCGGACUCCUACGGAGGCAGCAGUGGGGAAUAUUGCACAAUGGGCACAAGCCUGAUGCAGCCAUGCCGCGUGUAUGAAGAAGGCCCUAGGGUUGUAAAGUACUUUCAGUCGGGAGGCGUUACCGACAGAAGAAGCACCGGCUAACUCCGUGCCAGCCGCCGCGGUAAUUC
rnacentral:rRNA from 1 species